rnacentral:rRNA from 1 species
AAUAUUAGACAAUGGGCGAAAGCCUGAUCCAGCCAUGCCGCGUGUGUGAAGAAGGUCUUCGGAUUGUAAAGCACUUUAAGUUGGGAGGAAGGGGUUGAAGCUAAUACCUUCAAUCUUUGACGUUCCCAACAGAAUAAGAACCGGCUAACUCUGGGCCAGCACCCGGGGUAAUACAGAGGGUGCAAGCGUUAAUCAGAAUUACUGGGCGUAAAGCGCGCGUAGGUGGUUCAGUAAGAUGGAAGUGAAAUCCCCGGGCUUAACCUGGGAACUGCUUUCAUAACUGCUGAGCUAGAGUACGGUAGAGGGUAGUGGAAUUUCCUGUGUAGCGGUGAAAUGCGUAGAUAUAGGAAGGAACACCAGUGGCGAAGGCGACCACCUGGGCUAAUACUGACACUGAGGUGCGAAAGCGUGGGGAGCAAACAGG